CACAAUUUUUUUCUUUCCUUUUCUCUCGCUCAGUUGCUCUGCUGACUCUCCUCGCUCUGAACUGUACGGAGCUUUCAAAUUUCAAUUGGUUUGGGAGAAAGCUCAGAAGCUACAAGCUGCAACUUGAAGGCACCAAUUAAACAACAUAGUUUGCAAUUCAGCGAUUACAUUUCAAUUGAUGGGAAGUUGUAAACCUAAUCGAGAAGAGAAGGAAGAAGAUGUAUAUGGGUAAUUGGGUAUUGUGGUUUAAUUUGCAAUGCUUUUUCACGUCUUCAGAUAUCCUAGAAUGGUGCUCUAAUUGAUUUCCCAGGUUUCAAACUCUGUGCAUGUAUAAGUUUUUGUGCGGUUUUGGGUUUUUUUUUUUUUUCCUUUCUUUUUUCCAAAUCUCGGUUGCUUCUAAUAGCUUCUGUGCUUCGCGGUCUUGGUUAUUAAUGAUUUUGAUUUGUUCGUUUUAGGUAUUUUAGUCGCCUGCUUAAAGCUUUGAAAUUAGGUUCCAGAGCCUUUGGGUCCGAUAGAGGAAUUUGAGUUGCAAUCUUCUUCAGGUUAGACCUUUUUUUAUUUCCAAGAAAAUAAGUUUUUUGAAAUUGUUAGCUAGUUUUGAAAUUGGCAUUCAAAAAUUUAUGUUCUUAAAUUGUUCUUUUGUUGCUGAUAUUGCUUGCUUCUAUGUUUUGGGGUUUACUCUUGAGUUUGUGAAGGGUAAAGAUUGAUUCUUUUCUCAUGUAAAUUGAGGGGACUGAUGGGAAUUUAAAGAAAUGGGGUUUAUGUUGUUAGUUAAAACGGGAUGUGUGUCCCGCUAAACAAAGUUUGGGUCUUUUCUCAUGUAAAUUGAGAGGGUUGAAGGGAAUUUGAAGAGAUAGAACAGGUAUACGUUCUAUUCUGAUUUCUGAAUUUGGUUUGAUUUCUGUUGUGAUGUUCUUUUAAAUGAUUAUCUCUAAAAAUUAACUGUUCUCAUCUCAUACAGUAGAUGACAGAGCUUCAAACUCUUAUUUGGUUGGAGGGCAAUAUCGACAGAAAGAGUCCUCUGAAAAUUUCAACUACUCCACAAGAUUAUGGGCACUAAUUAUGGUGAUCAUGAUUUGACUGUGUGUGUAAAAACUCAAGAGGAAGUUGAUGAAGACAGGAUCAGUAAAAUGCCAGAUGAUGUUCUCUGCUUUCAGGUCAAGAUAGGUUGCUAUUCUGUACAUAUACUUAAAACACCUUUGUGGAAGGAGACCUCACGUAUUCCAAAUGAUGAAGAACCCAGUUGUGAUGGCGUAAGUAGACUUGCAAACCAUACAUUCAGCCAUAUGGGCAAGCAUUACCCCUGGAGCUGUAUUGAUCGUUAUGGCUCGAAGAUUCAAGGGCAAUAGGGUUGUCUUUUUGAAGCAUCAUUCUUCUUGCUUGCUUUUGGUCACUGUUAAGUUAUUGUUUUUCUUCACUAUGUGAGAAAUUCUUUUUACUUUUGGUUACCAAGUAGUGCCUUUUGAUGAAUGUUACAUGUAGUUUGCUAUGUUUGAGUGUCAUUGUGGAUGUAUAAUGUAUGUAAUGUUUGCAAAUGUAGUAUUAUUGCUGACCACCCGCAGCAUCGCGCGGGCUGCAAUACCUAGUUAGAUACUAGUGUCAAGUUUCAUGCAUUGUUGCCUCAGAAUCUGGCUCCCCUACAGUCAGAUAAUGUACAGUUUUUAUAAACUCUGUUUCUCCGUAUACAGGACAAAGAUGGAUCCCUCUCACUCCCUCCCUCCCGGCAUAUCAUGAAGAUUUAUAUAGAUUUUGGCAAUUUGAAUUUUGAAACUGGAUCAGCAGUGAUAUAUGUUCAGUUGUUCACGUCUUAUAUACAAAUGUAUUCAGUUGUUCAUCCAUUGUUUUGUAAGUGUUGGAAUUUAGUUAGAAUAUUUCAAAAUACCUGUUAUAUUUGAAAUC